rnacentral:tRNA from 2 species
UCCUUGGUGGGUCUAGUGGUUAGGAUUUGGUGCUUUCACUGCUGGGGCCCAGGUUCAAUCCCUGGUCAGGGAA